GUGGUUGUAGCUCAGUUGGUUAGAGCGUCCCCCUGUGGAGGGGAAGGUCGGGAGUUCAAAUCUCCUCAACCACC
rnacentral:tRNA from 1 species